rnacentral:rRNA from 1 species
CUACGGGGGGCUGCAGUAAGGAAUAUUGCGCAAUGGAGGCAACUCUGACGCAGCCAUGCCGCGUGCAGGAAGAAGGCCUUAUGGGUCGUAAACUGCUUUUAUUUAGGAAUAAACCCCCGAACGUGUUCGGGGCUGAAGGUACUAAACGAAUAAGCACCGGCUAACUCCGUGCCAGCAGCCGCGGUAAUACGGAGGGUGCAAGCGUUAUCUGGAUUUAUUGGGUUUAAAGGGUGCGCAGGCGGGCUAUUAAGUCAGUGGUGAAAUCCCGGGGCGCAACUCCGGAACUGCCAUUGAUACUGUAGUCUUGAGUUUGGUUGAAGUGGGCGGAAUGUAGCAUGUAGCGGUGACAUGCAUAGAUAUGCUACAGAACACCAAUCGCGAAGGCAGCUCACUAAGCCAAAACUGACGCUCAUGCACGAAAGCGUGGGGAUCAAACAGGAUUAGAUACCCCGGUAGUC